rnacentral:lncRNA from 1 species
GUGUGUUUAUGCAUUUAACGUAUAUUUAUAUGUAAUCAACGUCCUAGGAUUUCAAUUAAAAAGUAUAAUGUUCAAACUUGUCACAUUGCACUUCCGUUAAAAGAUUUUAUGACACAUUAAAAUCGAAUACUGCAGUUUGAAAUAACAACUAAGCAAUGCACAUAUGCUUCGUUGUGAAGAAAUUGUCGUCUUUAACACUUAAACUAAUUGGUUUACCUUGUUCUCAAACUACAAAAAACGGAAAACAUGAUUAUUCUUUAUUAUUUUUUUUCCCUACUGUUAGCGGAAGUAUUUUCGAGAGAAAAGAUGAAUCAUG